ensembl:lncRNA novel transcript
GAAGGCUCUUAGGGCCAGCGGGCCCAGGAGCUCCUAGUCAUGGGAUUUCAUGGACCUAUCACUUUUUAAAAGUUAGGUCUGCUCACUCUGUGUCAUCAAGGACAGACCCAAUGGCCCUAACACGAACCCACUGCCAUUUGUUAUCUCCAAGCAGCAGAGCUCUCAGCAUCAAGGACUUUCUAAGAAAGGACCAUGGUGAUGGCUUUGUGACCUGCCUGUGCUACAGUAACAGAACCUUUGGUCCAGAGCCUGGGAUGUUGCCUUUUGCCCACUGGAAUUCCCAUCUUGGAAGAGUAAGCGCAGGGGAUUGUCCAGACAGCCAGGAGGCCAGCGAAGCCAAGUCCUUCAGUACAGCCUGGGAGCCUCCAGGAAGCUGUUAGGAGUUGCCAUGAUGGGUGCAUUUGGACUCACAGAAUCUGCCUUCCAAUCUCAGUGCUGCUUCUACUCCUUUGCUACCUUAGGUCUUUGAAGACAGGUCCAUACCUUGGGUGUUUGUAUUUGGACAACCACAGACAUUGCCAAGAAAUGUAUCUGUUCUACUUGCACACCUUCACCACCUGGAUGCUGCUUGAGGACACAGAUCUGGUCCAUCAGAUUUCUCUCUGUACUCCUCUCUAUAUUUCGCCAUAUUUGAUAUAGACCCAUCAAUGGCUCCCUAGAAUAAAAUCUCAACUCUUCACUGUGCCCACAG